rnacentral:misc_RNA from 1 species
GAAAGAAGUCGAACAAGGUUUCCGUAGGUGAACCUGCGGAAGGAUCAUUACUGAGUGAGGGCCCCUCGGGGUCCAACCUCCCACCCGUGUUUAACGAACCUUGUUGCUUCGGCGGGCCCGCCUCACGGCCGCCGGGGGGCAUUUGCCCCCGGGCCCGCGCCCGCCGAAGCCACCUGUGAACGCUGUCUGAAGUAUGCAGUCUGAGACAAUUAUUAAAUUAAUUAAAACUUUCAACAACGGAUCUCUUGGUUCCG